CCUACGGGUGGCAGCAGUGGGGAAUAUUGCACAAUGGGCGCAAGCCUGAUGCAGCCAUGCCGCGUGUGUGAAGAAGGCCUUCGGGUUGUAAAGCACUUUCAGCGGGGAGGAAGGCGGUGAGGUUAAUAACCUCAUCGAUUGACGUUACCCGCAGAAGAAGCACCGGCUAACUCCGUGCCAGCAGCCGCGGUAAUACGGAGGGUGCAAGCGUUAAUCGGAAUUACUGGGCGUAAAGCGCACGCAGGCGGUCUGUCAAGUCGGAUGUGAAACCCCCGGGCUCAACCUGGGAACUGCAUUCGAAACUGGCAGGCUAGAGUCUUGUAGGGGGGGGUAGAAUUCCAGGUGUAGCGGUGAAAUGCGUAGAGAUCUGGAGGAAUACCGGUGGCGAAGGCGGCCCCCUGGACAAAGACUGACGCUCAGGUGCGAAAGCGUGGGGAGCAAACAGGAUUAGAUACCCCUGUAGUC
rnacentral:rRNA from 1 species